rnacentral:lncRNA from 1 species
GUGGAUUGGCCUCUUCUGGAUAUUUCAUACAAAUGGAUCAUACCACGUUGGCCUCGGAGUUUUCACACUGACGGUUCCCACAGGGCCCUCUCAGCCCUAACAGGGCCCUCUCUGCCCCAGGCCUUUGGGGGACCAUCUCCUUCUUAACAUUCGUCUUGGCUCAAAAGUCACCUCCCUGUCUCCAGCCUAUGCCCACGGCCCCUCUGCUCCCAGCCACUCUCAAUGUCAUAAGGACCCAGCCCUAUUUAUUUCCCUUUCAGCACUUAACACUCUCUGAGAGCACCUUGCUUAAUUAUUUGUUUACACAUUUAUUGUCUUUCCCCUUGUCGCUCCCUGUGAUAUCCCCAUCCCCGGGACAGGGCCAGGCAGGCACCCAGGUGGUGCUCAGCAAUUAUUUGUGGAUUGAAUGAGCCGAUUCACUAUCAAGCACUCGGAUGAAGCCAUCUACAAAGAUAAAGAAACAGCCAAGGAAGGAAGAAAGCGGUGCUGCUGGGGAGGGGAGGAGUAACCAGGAAAAGUCACGAAGGGAAGGGGGGCCUGGAAGGAUGACUAGAAGCUCAGCUGGCCUUCGGGGAGGAAGGGGCAUUGGAGGACGACGGGGCAGGGCAUUCCAGGCAGAAGGAACCGCAUGGGCGGAGGCCUGGAGGCGCGAGAGAGGGAGACAGCAGUCAAGGUGCUCUGG